rnacentral:rRNA from 1 species
AUUGAACGCUGGCGGCAGGCCUAACCCAUGCAAGUCGAGCGAGCGGCGGACGGGUGAGGAAUGCCUAGGAAUCUGCCUGGUAGUGGGGGAUAACGUCCGGAAACGGGCGCUAAUACCGCAUACCAUCGGAUGUUUCCAAAUGGGAUUCGCAUGGGGGUGAGGAAACGGCUCACCUAGGCGACGAUCCCUCGCUGGUCUGAGAGGAUGACCAGCCACACUGGAACUGAGACCCGGUCCAGACUCCUACGGGAGGCAGCAGUGGGAAAUAUUGCACAAUGGGCGCAAGCCUGAUGCAGCCAUGCCGCGUGUAUGAAGAAGGCCUUCGGGUUGUAAAGUACUUUCAGCGGGGAGGCGUUACCCGCAGAAGAAGCACCGGCUAACUCCGUGCCAGCAGCCGCGGUAAUUC